rnacentral:antisense_RNA from 1 species
GAGAGGGGGGAAGAGGAUGUUCUCCGGCUCACUCCUACAUUAGGUCUCUGUGCAAAGGCAGAGGCUGUGGGAGCAGCAUCAAGCAAGACUUCGGGCAGUGAUUCUAACUAUUGCCCAUGAACACCGUGGCUGGGACGACUUUGACGAGGCAAUUUAUUACUUACGCAUAGAACACUGGCUGUGCUGAAACUGGGAGCGCAAACAGCCCCUUGUUUUCUAAUUUAGAGACUUGCAUCUUUUCGACACUCAACAGUAUCAAGACACUCUGCUACUACAGAUUGAUUUCCACCAUCAACACCUUUACCUCUUCCCGCCUGAAAAUAAAAUAUGAAAUAUAACAAGUAAAUCGCAAUCUACCUUGAAUCUUCUGGAGAGGGAAAGAAGAAACCAUGUCUAGACAAGGUGCUGGAAAGACCCAGGGAAGACACAGGCUUUGGUAUCAGAAUGAUGCUGGCCUCAUAAAAUGAGUUAGGGAGGAUUCCCUCUUUUUCUAUUGAUUGGAAUAGUUUCAGAAGGAAUGGUACCAGCUCCUCCUUGUACCUCUGGUAGAAUUCGGCUGUGAAUCCAUCUGGUCCUGGACUUUUUUUGGUUGGUAAGCUAUUAAUUAUUGCCUCAAUUUCGGAGCCUGUUAUUGGUCUAUUCAGAGAUUCAACUUCUUCCUGGUUUGGCCUUGGGAGGGUGUAUGUGUCGAGGAAUUUAUCCAUUUCUUCUAGAUUUUCUAGUUUAUUUGCGUAGAGGUGUUUAUAG